AUGAUACCGCUGGUUAUGUUCAUGACUACAGUUGUCCUUAAUGAAUUUCCUGACGUGUAUGUAUUCUUGGCUUGGCUAAUCGCUUGCAAUUUGAUCUUGAUGCGAAGCAGCCGGGCAACAUUCCGCGGAGGCACGCCAGGUAUAGACAUACAUCGGGGUGCGACGCAUGCGCCUUACGUAUGUACUUCAUACUGUUACUUGAUUUAUUUGUUUUUGUUCGCCAAGGCACGGGAACACCAGCACACGAGUCUCGUCGUGACCGGGGUGUGCCUCCAAUUGGUAGAUUGUUUGUUUACCACUAUAGUACUAGCUAGUGUGUGUCUUCUUUUUUUUCGAGAAAAAACUUCCGGACUAUUCAUUAUUAGUUGUCAUUCGUUAUUAGUUGUCCAAUUCGGAAGAAUGUGA
rnacentral:rRNA from 1 species